rnacentral:rRNA from 1 species
GACGAACGCUGGCGGCGUGCUUAACACAUGCAAGUCGAACGGAAAGGCCCUGCUUUUGUGGGGUGCUCGAGUGGCGAACGGGUGAGUAACACGUGAGUAACCUGCCCUUGACUUUGGGAUAACUUCAGGAAACUGGGGCUAAUACCGGAUAGGAGCUCCUGCUGCAUGGUGGGGGUUGGAAAGUUUCGGCGGUUGGGGAUGGACUCGCGGCUUAUCAGCUUGUUGGGGGGGUAGUGGCUUACCAAGGCUUUGACGGGUAGCCGGCCUGAGAGGGUGACCGGCCACAUUGGGACUGAUAUACGGCCCAGACUCCUACGGGAGGCAGCAGUGGGGAAUAUUGCACAAUGGGCGGAAGCCAGAUGCAGCAACGCCGCGUGCGGGAUGACGGCCUUCGGGUUGUAAACCGUUUUCGCCUGUGACGAAGCGUGAGUGACGGUAAUGGGUAAAGAAGCACCGGCUAACUACGUG